rnacentral:rRNA from 1 species
AGUGAACGCUGGCGGUAGGCCUAACACAUGCAAGUCGAACGGCAGCACAGUAAGAGCUUGCUCUUACGGGUGGCGAGUGGCGGACGGGUGAGGAAUACAUCGGAAUCUACUUUUUCGUGGGGGGUAACGUAGGGAAACUUACGCUAAUACCGCAUACGACCUACGGGUGAAAGCAGGGGAUCUUCGGACCUUGCGCGAUUGAAUGAGCCGAUGUCGGAUUAGCUAGUUGGCGGGGUAAAGGCCCACCAAGGCGACGAUCCGUAGCUGGUCUGAGAGGAUGAUCAGCCCCACUGGAACUGAGCCACGGUCCAGACUCCUACGGGAGGCAGCAGUGGGGAAUAUUGGACAAUGGGCGCAAGCCUGAUCCAGCCAUACCGCGUGCGUGAAGAAGGCCUUCGGGUUGUAAAGCCCUCUUGUUGGGAAAGAAAAGCAGCAGGUUAAUACCCCGCUGUUCUGACGGUACCCAAAGAAUAAGCACCGGCUAACUUCGUG